rnacentral:rRNA from 1 species
GAUUACCGGCUGAACUUAAGCAUAUCACUAAGCGGAGGAAAAGAAACUAACCAGGAUUCCCCUAGUAACGGCGAGUGAAGAGGGAAUAGCCCAGCACCGAAGCCUGCGGUAGGUUUACUGCUAGGCAAUGUGGUGUUUGGGUCGACUCGCGGGAUUGCCACUCCACUCGAAGUCCAGCACUGAGUAUGGUUCCCUGGAUUUGGCCCAGAGAGGGUGAAAGGCCCGUGCGAGUGGAGGUUCAGACAUGUGAGGCAAUUCACCAGGUCGACCUUCGAGUCGGGGUGUUUUGGAAUGCAGC